UGUCUGUCUUCAAUCCAGCUGUCAAAACAAUGUCAAAUGUGGAUCACUGUACCUAUUCUUCAGGAGAGCAAUGAAAGCAAGUGACAUGCUGAUUGUUCCAGGAACUGUGGGCUGCAAACUCGUGUUCGCUCAGUGUGAGAAAGGAGGGCAGAAACCUGAACGGUCAAGAUACUGAACUUCAGGCUUUGCCCUUUUUCUUCUUUUUUAAGGUGGCUUAAAUCAUCAUACACAAGCCCCAGUAAUAUCCCUUAGCAAGGACCAAAACCGUGAGUCUGAACUGAGUCGUGGCCUCUGUGACCUUGUUUAAGACCUGGAAACCACUGUAAGGGGCUUCUGUCUCUUUCUCCGUUUGGCUUAAGCCUAUCAAAUGCCUACAUCUUGAAGUGAGUCGCCCCCCCAGCCAAGCCUCAUCCCUCCACACAUGCCUGCUGAGCCACAGCCACUUUCACCUGAACCCCCCCUCCCCGCAGAGUCCCCUUGCCCCUGCACCCAGAACUCCCCAACAAACCUCUAUGCAUCCAGAUCCCCCCCACACCUGGAUCCCCCAACGACCCACCUACAUCCAAACUGCCGCACACAGAAACCGCUCACUGCACGCUUGGAUCCUCCCACACUAAGCCCCUCCACACUUGGAUCCUGACAAGCUGAGGCUGCCUGGCCGUAC